rnacentral:rRNA from 1 species
UACGUAGGGUGCAAGCGUUGUCCGGAAUUACUGGGCGUAAAGAGCUCGUAGGUGGUUUGUCGCGUUGUUCGUGAAAAACUCACAGCUCAACUGUGGGCGUGCGGGCGAUACGGGCAGACUUGAGUACUGCAGGGGAGACUGGAAUUCCUGGUGUAGCGGUGGAAUGCGCAGAUAUCAGGAGGAACACCGGUGGCGAAGGCGGGUCUCUGGGCAGUAACUGACGCUGAGGAGCGAAAGCGUGGGGAGCGAACAGG